CAUAGACAACCCCCGAAAAACAUACAGAUACACACUGUAAAAGAACUGCUGCAACUUCACCGGACAAAAGGGAAUUUAAGUUAGCCAGGCUACCAUGGCACCAGACCUGACGGAUGUUGUCUAUAAAGGCUUGAGCGGGAUGCUCACAAGAAAGUUGGUCGAUGAAAAGGUUGCAGGUUGAGAGCAGCAGCGAUAUCACGCGACGAGGACAUCAUGGAGCCAUCCACCGAUCUCGCCGCCGACGUCUCCAACUCUGCCUCUACUGUGGGUCCCCCGACCACCGUAUCGCCCGGUGCCCUGUCAGACCAACAUGCCGCCCUGGAUUGCUGCCCGACAUUGUGAAGGAAAGCCAGCCGGUAUCGUCAUAGGAUCGACAUCUCCAGAGAGAUCGAUCCACUACCUCUGCCUACCCGGUUCAAGGAACAUUAAACCAGACGCACUCUCCAGAGUGUUUGGCCUGGCUGAAGUAGAAGGGAUGCCCUAGACCAUUGUACCUGCAGCCAGAGUGCUUGGAGCCCUCCAGUGGGAUGUAGAGAGGAAGGUGUCCGAGGAAACUGUGGGAGCAGAGCUACCUGAGGGGUGUCUGGCGGACAAGCUAUUUGUGCCACCGGAACUGAGAUCUGAAGUGCUGCAGUGGGCUCACACAUCCAAGGUGGCCUGUCACCCGGGAGUCCAACGCACCCAUUUUUUGGUGGGCCAGAGGUUCUGGUGGCCAUCUGUCGCCUGAUCGAUGGUCUGCCAGUUUAUAUGGUAAGAGCCAUUUUAGACUUGAGAAGAAGAGGGAGGGGGGUGCAGUAUCUGGUUGACUGGGAGGCAUAUGGAUGUGAGGAGCGCUCCUGGGUGUCCCGCUCCUGUAUCGUCGACCCAUCACUCAUCUGUGACUUCCAUUCGCUCCAUCCUAACAACCCAGGUAUGCCACCAGUGGGCGCCUUAAAAGGAGGGGGAUACUGUCAUACUGUCAGUUGUCGUGCUGCGUUGCUGCCCUCUCUCUGCCAUCUGUUGCAGCACACCUUCCACUGGCACAGGAGGAGCUCAUUACGCACCUGCAUCCAAUUAUCAGCUGAACUACUUAAUGCCACGCGGUUGCUCAUACCUGUCCCAGAUUGUCUUCCCAUCCAUGCUUGCGUCAUGCUUCUCCCUGCCUUGUAUUUUGUACCUUGUAUCCUAGCUUUCUGGUCACACCUGCUAACUUGUGACUACCUGUAUUUUUCCCUGUUUGGCCUACUCCAGCAGUGGUUUUCUGUUUUACCUCUGUGUAGUACUUCCUGCUGGCUAUUCAGCACUGCCUGUUGUUGCAGCGAUCAAGUCUGGUAUGUGUCUCACCAAACUGCCUGCCAGCUACUUUUAAAAUGACCAAGUCCCAAAGAUCUACCUCCGACUAUAAAUAUACAGUAGAAUAUAUGUUUAUUUACUAUAUCUGUUAAAAAAAAAUAUGAGCACGUAUUUAUGUACGUUAUACAUGUAUAUCAGGGAUGCACGCACUUUUUCAGCAUGCAAGUUACAAGUCAGAAUGAUCUACCUAUAAAACAUAACAUACUGUAUAUAAAAUCUAUCCGGUAAACUUUGAAAUACUAUUGUAAAUAUUAAUUAGUAUUUCAC